rnacentral:rRNA from 2 species
ACAUUUGAGUGAGUGGCGAACUGGUGAGUAACACGUGGGAAACCUGCCCAGAAGCGGGGGAUAACACCUGGAAACAGAUGCUAAUACCGCAUAACAACUUGGACCGCAUGGUCCGAGUUUGAAAGAUGGCUUCGGCUAUCACUUUUGGAUGGUCCCGCGGCGUAUUAGCUAGAUGGUGGGGUAACGGCUCACCAUGGCAAUGAUACGUAGCCGACCUGAGAGGGUAAUCGGCCACAUUGGGACUGAGACACGGCCCAAACUCCUACGGGAGGCAGCAGUAGGGAAUCUUCCACAAUGGACGAAAGUCUGAUGGAGCAACGCCGCGUGAGUGAAGAAGGGUUUCGGCUCGUAAAACUCUGUUGUUAAAGAAGAACAUAUCUGAGAGUAACUGUUCAGGUAUUGACGGUAUUUAACCAGAAAGCCACGGCUAACUACGUGCCAGCAGCCGCGGUAAUACGUAGGUGGCAAGCGUUGUCCGGAUUUAUUGGGCGUAAAGCGAGCGCAGGCGGUUUUUUAAGUCUGAUGUGAAAGCCUUCGGCUCAACCGAAGAAGUGCAUCGGAAACUGGGAAACUUGAGUGCAGAAGAGGACAGUGGAACUCCAUGUGUAGCGGUGAAAUGCGUAGAUAUAUGGAAGAACACCAGUGGCGAAGGCGGCUGUCUGGUCUGUAACUGACGCUGAGGCUCGAAAGUAUGGGUAGCAAACAGGAUUAGAUACCCUGGUAGUCCAUACCGUAAACGAUGAAUGCUAAGUGUUGGAGGGUUUCCGCCCUUCAGUGCUGCAGCUAACGCAUUAAGCAUUCCGCCUGGGGAGUACGGCCGCAAGGCUGAAACUCAAAGGAAUUGACGGGGGCCCGCACAAGCGGUGGAGCAUGUGGUUUAAUUCGAAGCUACGCGAAGAACCUUACCAGGUCUUGACAUACUAUGCAAAUCUAAGAGAUUAGACGUUCCCUUCGGGGACAUGGAUACAGGUGGUGCAUGGUUGUCGUCAGCUCGUGUCGUGAGAUGUUGGGUUAAGUCCCGCAACGAGCGCAACCCUUAUUAUCAGUUGCCAGCAUUAAGUUGGGCACUCUGGUGAGACUGCCGGUGACAAACCGGAGGAAGGUGGGGAUGACGUCAAAUCAUCAUGCCCCUUAUGACCUGGGCUACACACGUGCUACAAUGGAUGGUACAACGAGUUGCGAACUCGCGAGAGUAAGCUAAUCUCUUAAAGCCAUUCUCAGUUCGGAUUGUAGGCUGCAACUCGCCUACAUGAAGUCGGAAUCGCUAGUAAUCGCGGAUCAGCAUGCCGCGGUGAAUACGUUCCCGGGCCUUGUACACACCGCCCGUCACACCAUGAGAGUUUGU